CCUAGUCUCUACAUUUCACUUCAGCCGCCUCACGCCCUCACCCUCAUUCUUUUCUUUUCUUCUCUACACAGACGCUUAGAUCCAAUUGCCUCAUCCUUGCCGCCGAUCCAAAUAAAAAAACAGUCCAACAAUGUAAAUAUAUAUAUUGAAAAAGCUGAAGCAUUUGAGAAUGAGAGUCCAGAGGAAGAUGCGGUUGAGUUUGGAGCGAACGAGAACGAAGGAGCGGUUGUUGAAGCUGAAGAAGAAGAAGAAGAACCGGCGAAGAGAUUUGAAGAGGCGGAGCAGAAUGGGGAUGAGGUUGAACUCGUUGUGGAUAGGGAUGUGGCGAACGGGGAUAGAGAUGGAGUUGAUCCAAACAGGGGGGAAGUGGUGGUGGCGCCGGUGGUUGAAGAUCCGAAGAUAGGUGAAGCGGCGGAAGGAAUGUCAAUUUUGGUAUGAAGGACAACGGGACAUGCUGUACAAUCAGACAUUCAAUCUUGAUCAAGUUUCCUUUGCUGCCGAGGGUAUUAAAGAUGCUCAGCAAACAAUAGCUCCAAUUUAUUUGGCAUCAUGCAUAAAGCAGGGAAUGGGUUUGCUAGAGAUUUUAUUGAGCAAGCAACCUGUUCAAAAUAAUCAAGUACUGCUUAAGGCUCACAUUAGGAGUCAACUGGUGUAGUGGAGUCAACUGAUUUUCCAUAGAAGUUAUUUGACUGUUUUUGGUGGGGACUACGAAAUCUGGCACUUUUCUUCAAUUACAACACCUUGUUGGGACCACCUUAUCGGGUUUUGGUAGAUACCAACUUCAUCAAUUUCUCUAUCCAGAAUAAACUGGACUUGAGAAGGGAAUGAUGGACUGCCUAUAUGCAAAAUGUGAGUUUAGAAUCACUGGUUUCUUCAAUUUAAUGUGAAUAUUAAUUUGCUGCAAGAAUUGUUGUGCCGUGUUGAUGAGGUAUCCUAAGUUCAACAUAGUUGUUAAUGUGGUUUUAUAACAAGCAUUGAGUGCCAUGUAUCAUUGGCAAACACUUAAAUAUGUGUUGGUUGCUUAAUGAUAUUUAUCAAAAUAUUACUCUUGGUUCUGUGGAUGUCCAUAAGAAUGCUUAAGGAAUAAAAUGAGGAUCUUUUUUUAAAUUAUGAUUUUA